GGGUAAGUCCUAAACGACCAGCUCCCGCAGAAUCCCCCCAGGACCGGAAGGUAGCAAGGGUAUGCGGUUGUAGCGGUGCGAUUUAGAUCGCUUA
rnacentral:SRP_RNA from 1 species